rnacentral:lncRNA from 1 species
UGAUAGUCGGUUAUAGAGCUCACCAAAGCUUAUAUUUUUUCUCACGGUUAAGUAUAAAAGUAUAUACAUGUAUAUAUAAACGAGUCUAAAUUGAAAACUAUGUUCAAACCUAUGAUUGCGUUGGAUAAAAACCGGAAUUUUUAUACGUGUGCUUGUAAAACAAAUUUCGUUGUAGAAGGGUCUAAAAACAGCACAAACAACAUUUUCCAAAAGACCAAAAAAGUGAAAAAGUAUAUUUAAACAAAACGCAUUUGACCAUCAGCGAUUGCCAAAUAAAAUUGAUCACAAGAUGUAAUAAAUGGAUCUUAAUAUAAAUUUAAUACUAAACAGAAAAAAAUUAACUUGUGGCCACGAUGCUAUGCCACUAACAUACGGUGUCAAUAUUUUUUUAUUACACCAGAUGCUGAUUUCGACAAUAGAUGUCUCUUCAGUGAUGUUAGGGAUCGAAACGGUAUUUGGAAGGCCAUAUAAAAAGUACCCUCUUUUUUUGAAAAAGUAUCCUCAUUUUUUAGAUAGACUCUUGAAUUUUAAGAGUCAAUGUAGGAUGAACGGAUCAUAUAAACCGAGGGGAAAAUAUGAUACAACCCCAAACGAAAAAAUAUAAACGAG